GAUGAACGCUAGCGGCAGGCUUAAUACAUGCAAGUCGAGGGGCAGCACAGAUAGCAAUAUUGGGUGGCGACCGGCAAACGGGUGCGGAACACGUACGCAACCUUCCCAGAACAGGUGAAUAGCCCUCCGAAAGGAGGAUUAAUACACCGUAAUAUAUAGAGGUGGCAUCAUUUUUAUAUUAAAGGUCGCAAGAUCGGUUUUGGAUGGGCGUGCGCCUGAUUAGGUAGNGGUGUGGGUAAUGGCCCACCAAGCCUUCGAUCAGUAACUGGUGUGAGAGCACGACCAGUCACACGGGCACUGAGACACGGGCCCGACUCCUACGGGAGGCAGCAGUAAGGAAUAUUGGUCAAUGGACGCAAGUCU
rnacentral:rRNA from 1 species